AAACCCAAAACCCAUUUUCCUCUCUCUCUCAGUCUCUCUCCCAAAGCUCUGUCUGAAAAUUCUCCAUUAAUGGCUUCCAACAAAGAAAACCCCACCAACGAAGAUGAACAGUCAACUCUGGAGGAGUUAAGUUCCAUGGUCAAGAGUGGCUCAAUUCUCGACCGAGAUGGUUUCAUACAACACGCCUCCGACAAAGAACUGGCAGAGAAAAUUAUGCAGAGGUUCAGCGACUGUGGGCUGAUGAAAUUUCUCACCCACGACUACCUGACUGUCCACAAGAUUGAUUCCACAGAAUGGUUUAUGAAUGCUCGGAUUGUAGGAGAAGAAAUCCACUCGAAGGUUCAAGAUAUGGAGACCGUGACCGCCAUGGGAGAUAUUAGGGCGGCAUUCGACUUCGCAAUCCCUAAAGGAGCUCAUCCUGACCUCUCCCAAUACACCUACAACCAGCAAAAAUUCUGGGAAGAAAUAAAAUCUGAGAAAGCCCCUGCUAAUCUCAAGCUCUCAUUUAAGAAGAAAAUCCUCAUUCCAGAGUAUGAACGAGCCAUGGAUAUACUGAUCAGGAUUCUGUUGAACAAAGUGGCCGGGACUGACGAUGUUACAGCUUAUAUGCUAGCCACUCUGAGCGCAAUUAUGACGAAUUACUCCCUCGAUUGGCCCCAGAUUAUCUUCAACCAUCUCAGAGCGUAUGUGGAGAAGGCAGUAGAUAGUGAUUCAAAAUCAUUGAGUCAAAAGGUUGGUUAUGGCUUCCUUGUACAGUAUUUAUUGAGCCUUAAGGGCAUUAAGCGUAGGCCUGGGGUCCCAGUCCAUAGAAAUGCAUAUUUGUGUAGGACCAAACCCCCCACCCCUAAAGGCCAAGCUGCCACCCCUCCUAAAGCUAAGGGUAAGAAGAAAAAGGUUGUAGCUCAUGAGAGCUCCUCUAAUGUCCCUAUAGCUACUGUGUUGAAAAAGAUUGAGUCUUUAAAGAGUAAGAAAUCUUUUAAGGAUGUUGAGGUGGAGAGUAGACCUGCCAAGAAGGCUAAGGCUGCUAAGAAUGAGGGGGAAAAUGCUGACAUGGAUGAUGAGAUAGUAGCUCGGAUCGAGUUAGGUGGAGACUCUGAUAGUGUAGAUGAGGGGCUGCUAGAAGAGUACAUGAGAGUGAAAAACUGGAUUCAAUGGAGGAUGGGUGAUAUUGAUACCCUACAGGCUGGAUUGAAUCACAUGAGGGCUGAGGAGGAGUUCUCUUUGAGAUGGCUCAACAUCUCUAAACUUUCAGAUGGCACACUAUUGAGCCUCACCGAAGAAGCAUACAGCAGGAAAAUGAGUGAAAACGAGGCUGCAAAGGGUAAAUCAAAAGCUACUGAGGAAGAGGUGCAGAGUCGAAAUCCUCAGGAGGCAGAGAAGGCACAGUUGAAGGAGUUGAGAAGGACCCUGCAGCAUUCCAUAUUUGAGCAGGAGAUGGGAGGUCCAGGUUCUACCUCGGGUGCAGGACAGAGAAGUGAACCUCGAGAGGUGACUCCCGAAGGUGAUCUUCCAGAAAGUGAGACGCAAGUCCCUCUGGAAGGUGCCCCUCUGAAAAGUGAAGAACAGAUUACUCCGGAAAGUGCCAGCCCGAGCAGUCAAUCCCCGGAAGGUCAAUCUGUUGCUCAGAUUAGACAAAGUACUGGAGAAAGGCUGCCUACUCAACUAGAAGGUGUGGACUUUGCUGAUGACUCUCCAGCCACUUCUCCAGACCCUAUGGCUCGUGUUGAAGCUGAGAAUGAGAAGAAGGGUGCCUACACUGUGGAAGAUGAGGAAGCCCAUGCCUCUAGUGGAAACAGGGAAGCACCAGACAUGGAAACUAACUCUGAUUCUGAGUUUUUGCAGGUACCCAGGCCCUCUCCAGCUACUAGAAGUGAUCCCCUCUUAGCCCAGAUCCAGAAAUUAAUUGCAGAUCAAAGGGUGUUUCUGGCUAAGAUGACUGAGGCAGCCACUGAAACCAGGAGUACUAAACACUUGGUGCUGACCCAGGGGAGAAGACUUGAUGAUAUGAGCAGCAGGCAGACUGAUGUGGUGGAAACCUUGCGUUGGGCUGAGGACAUGCUGAACAAUACGUGGGGUCUUGUUGGUGAAAUGGCGAACAGAGCUGCGUUCCUCCAGGAGCAGAACGAUGUGAUUCAACAAAAGCUCAACAAGGUUGAUCAGAAAGUCGAAGACAUCUAUGGCAAAGUGGACAGCCUUCCCCAGCAGAUGGAUGUUUUAACUGAAGGCCUUAUUCUCCUCCACGAGAAGUUUAAUGAUGCCAAAAAGGGGGAAGAUAGGGCAAGGGAAGGACUCCAAUUUGUUGACUUCGCGGACAUCCCUCCUCUCCCAAAUGAAGCUUAUAGUCUACAAAAUCUGCCUCCCAAGUGUAAAAACUGGGAUCAAAACAAAAAGCUGCAAUAUAUAAAGAUGAAAAAUGAGGAAAGAAAGAAGAGGAAAAGACAGGAGGCCGAGAAGGAAUAAGAAGAAAGGCAGAAAAGAAGAAGGGUUGAAGAGGAAGAAAGGAAGAAGAAAAGAAAUGAAAUUCUGUCCAAGUACACUGAAGGUACGAAGGGCCUUGAUGAUCAAAAGCUAGGGAUCCACAUCUUCCAAAUCAUCAAGGAAACCGGAGUAUCCUUGAAGGAUGGAAUGUCUCCCUUGGAGUGAAUAAACUGAUGGAAGAUUAUUUGCAAUCAACAUUGUAAUAAGGCAAGGCAAUGCAUCUUGGAUUAUGCAUUGAAAUCCUCUUUAUUUUCUGGACUUCAACAAGCGAGCUACACUGUUACGAGAAUUAAAUGAAGUCAACAAAGAACAUGAUCGAGGAGCCACUGGAAAGUAGAAAGGAGAAGAAGGGAAAUGAUGUAGAAGCUAAGGUGGAACGAACACUCGGUAAAAGCAUGCAAUGGUUUCUGUUUCUCAAGUAGCAGCAGCAAUUAUAUUGCACGAAAGAUCGAUCAAUACUGGAAGGAAAGAUGAGAAAGCUGCAGGAGUGGGCCAGUUUCUAUAUCCCAACGGAAACAAAUAAUUAAAAUGAAGACAAGAUGAGAGAGGAAUUGUUAGCUAGCUGAGGAAAGCUAAGGGAUUACAAGCUAAGCGCAGACGAAUGUGAUAUCGUGGCAAGAAAGUGAAGCGAUCGACUACCCGGGCAGGCCAGGUUAUGAGGGAUAUAAUAGAGAGAGGAAUACAUGGAGGAUAUUAGGCAAGCUAAGCUAAGCAGGUGGAGUUGAUUGCUUAACAAAUUAAAAGGAUAAGAGGCACAAGCUUCGAUCUAGAUGACUCGAGCACUCGAGAUAGAUAGAUCUCAUAUAUCACUCUCGUGGAACUGUAGUUGCAGAUACUACAAGUACGUGUUGGGAAAAAUAUAAUGGGCGUAGCAAGCGGGAUUAUAUAUAUUAAUUGUUCUAGAAGUCCAGACAGGCUACAAAGCAUGCAGUACCUAUACAAAUACAAGCUAAGCAAACGGAGGAAGCAUGAUGAUCGAGAAGCAGCGUAUAAAGAAGAUUUUUCUCACAGCUCCAGUACAAAACAUUCACCAAAAAUCACACCAUCGUAAGAGUCCUAGCUCACAGAGAGAGACAGAAUUGAGCUAGCGUAAUUUAGAUCCGUCCUCGAUCUCAGCUUCUUUCUGCUUUAAUUUGCGCAUGCAAUGAGUUCGAGGACGGAUAUAAUCCUUCAGAAUCUCAUCAUAUCUACUAACCAAGAUAACGUCUAACUGUCAUGGUAAGUUGGGUGGAUAUAUAUGAGAUCAUUUGGUGUUAUGAUGAGAGUUGAGACUGACUGGUUUCCACAAAAAUUAAAGUUAAGAUUAAGAUUGUUAAAGUCUUACUGGUUCUUCCUCUAGGCUCUAGUGGGGUAAGUAAUUAUAUAUAAUUCUCCUGAAUUGAAUACCUCUUUUUAUCCUUCUUUUUCAUUUUUUCUUUCUCUUAAAAACUCGCAGUAGAAGUGAAACAAACAGCUUUCGAUCUGCAGUUUCACCUACAUCUGUAUCCUUAAAAUGAUUAUUCUAUUAUUCCACUUAAUCUCUAUUUCCAUCU